rnacentral:rRNA from 1 species
GACGAACGCUGGCGGCGUGCUUAACACAUGCAAGUCGAACGGUGAAAGCGGAGCUUGCUCCGCUGGACCAGUGGCGAACGGGUGAGUAACACGUGGGCAACCUGCCCCUCACUUCGGGAUAACUCCGGGAAACCGGGGCUAAUACCGGAUAUGACCUCCUUGGGCAUCCUUGGAGGUGGAAAGUUUUUCGGUGAGGGAUGGGCCCGCGGCCUAUCAGCUUGUUGGUGUGGUAGUGGCUCACCAAGGCGACGACGGGUAGCCGGCCUGAGAGGGCGACCGGCCACACUGGGACUGAGACACGGCCCAGACUCCUACGGGAGGCAGCAGUGGGGAAUAUUGCGCAAUGGGCGAAAGCCUGACGCAGCAACGCCGCGUGCGGGAUGACGGCCUUCGGGUUGUAAACCGCUUUCAGCAGGGAAGAAGCCGCAAGGUGACGGUACCUGCAGAAGAAGCACCGGCUAACUACGUGCCAGCCGCCGCAGUAA